AGUGAGGGAUAUUGCACAAUGGGCGAAAGCCUGAUGCAGCGACGCCGCGUGGGAGAAGAAGGCCUUCGGGUUGUAAAUCCCUUUUCUGCGUGACGAGGAAGGACGGUAGCGCAGGAAUAAGUCUCGGCUAACUACGUGCCAGCAGCCGCGGUAAAACGUAGGAGACAAACGUUAUCCGGAGUUACUGGGCGUAAAGGGCGUGCAGGUGGUUCGUUAAGUCUGGCGUGAAAGCCUCCGGCUCAACCGGGGAAAGUCGUCGGAGACUGACGAACUAGAGGGCAGUAGAGGCGUGUGGAAUUCCGGGUGUAGUGGUGAAAUGCGUAGAGAUCCGGAGGAACACCAGUGGCGAAGGCGACACGCUGGGCUGCACCUGACACUGAGACGCGACAGCAUGGGGAGCGAA
rnacentral:rRNA from 1 species